GACGAACGCUGGCGGCGUGCUUAACACAUGCAAGUCGAACGGAAAGGCCCUGCUUUUGUGGGGUGCUCGAGUCGCGAACGGGUGAGUAACACGAGCGUAACCUGCCCUUGACUUUGGGAUAACUUACGGAAACUGGGGCUAAUACCGGCUAGGAGCUCCUGCUGCAUGGUGGGGGUUGGAAAGUUUCGGCGGUUGGGGAUGGACUCGCGGCUUAUCAGCUUGUUGGUGGGGUCGUGGCUUACCAAGGCUUUGACGGGUAGCCGGCCUGAGAGGGUGACCGGCCACAUUGGGACUGAGAUACGGCCCAGACUCCUACGGGAGGCAGCAGUGGGGAAUAUUGCACAAUGGGCGGAAGCCUGAUGCAGCAACGCCGCGUGCGGGAUGACGGCCUUCGGGUUGUAAACCGCUUUCGCCUGUGACGAAGCGUGAGUGACGGUAAUGGGUAAAGAAGCACCGGCUAACUACGUG
rnacentral:rRNA from 1 species